AAUACCAAAGAUGAGGUUGAGGUGAGGGCGACAGUACGCCGGUUGAUGACGAUUCCCUGCGGACCACAGGUGGUCGGAGCAGUGAUGUGGUUUCGACCGGCGGC
rnacentral:snoRNA from 1 species